rnacentral:rRNA from 1 species
CCUAUGGGGUGCAGCAGGCGCGAAACCUCUGCAAUGCGGGAAACCGUGACAGGGGGAUCCCAAGUGCUCAUGCAUUGCAUGGGCUGUUCUUUGGUCUAAGUAACCAGAGGAGUAAGGGCUGGGCAAGACCGGUGCCAGCCGCCGCGGUAAUACCGGCAGCUCAAGUGGUAGCCGCGAUUAUUGGGCCUAAAACGUUCGUAGCCGGAUAAGUAAGUCUUUGGUUAAAUCCUGCGACUUAACCGUGGGAAAUCUAGAGAUACUGCUUGUCUUGAGACCGGGAGAGGUUGGAGGUACUCCCAGGGUAGGGGUGAAAUCCUGUAAUCCUGGGGGGACCACCUGUGGCGAAGGCGUCCAACUGGAACGGGUCUGACGGUGAGGGACGAAACCUAGGGGAGCGAGCCGGAUUAGAUACCCGCGUAGUCC